UCUAAUGAGAAAAGGAAGGGUUCUUCAAAAAACAGAACUGCUACUUUGAGCUAUCUUGGAAGGUGGAUCUUCUGAGUCAUAGAGCAGUGUAGAAACCAAGACCCUCCGGACCCAGCCUGAUGUCGACUGCCUUGAAGAGACACAACCACUGUUAAUAAACAGUCCCUUGUAAAUAAUCUAGGAGAUGCAAAUCAAGACCAUAACAAGAUACUACUUUACGUCCAUUCGAUUGACAAAAAUUAAGACAUCUGGCAAUACCAAGUUCUGAAGAGGGCAGAUCAAUAGGAUGUCUUACACGUUGCUGGUAUAAACCGUGGACAACUCCAGCAGGUGCGCACCAGGAGAGAGAACCACAUAUGUGAAUCUCCACUGCAGCUCUCUAUUACAGCAAGAAAUGUGAAGGCCUAAACUCCAGUGUUCAGGAGACCAGAUAGGGAAUGGACUGUGGCCACUCAGGAAUAUAUUGGCACCAGCUCUCUGAAGAAUCUCUGAGGCACGCUGAUUUUCAGAGAUAAUUGAAGACGCUGGAUGUGCAGCUGGCCCCCACCACCUCUGUCUCCACGUAAGGUUGAAAGCAGGUCAGCUCUUUUUUCAUGGAUGGAAACACUCAGAACAUGAAGUAUCAUUUAAACCUCCCUCAUAUAAUAAAUUUCCAUCCUCCUUCUAGGCAGUGG